UCGAGAAUCUUUCGCAAUGGGCGCAAGCCUGACGAAGCGACGCCGUGUGAGCGAAGAAGGCCUUCGGGUUGUAAAGCUCUUUCGCUAGGGAACAAGAGAAGCGGACUAACAAGUCGCUAAUUUGAUGGUACUUGGUAAAGAAGCACCGGCUAACUCCGUGCCAGCAGCUGCGGUAAUACGGAGGGUGCAAGCAUUGAUCGGAAUUACUGGGCGUAAAGGGCGCGUAGGCGGCUGUAAAAGUCAGAUGUGAAAUUCCGGGGCUCAACCCCGGAGCUGCAUUUGAAACUCUACAGCUAGAGUACAGUUAGGGUAAACGGAAUUCCACGUGUAGCGGUGAAAUGCGUAGAUAUGUGGAAGAACACCGGUGGUGAAGACGGUUUACUGGGCUGUAACUGACGCU
rnacentral:rRNA from 1 species